AUUGAACGCUAGCGGGAUGCUUUACACAUGCAAGUCGAACGGCAGCGCGGACUUCGGUCUGGCGGCGAGUGGCGAACGGGUGAGUAAUGUAUCGGAACGUGCCCAGUAGCGGGGGAUAACUACGCGAAAGCGUAGCUAAUACCGCAUACGCCCUACGGGGGAAAGCAGGGGAUCGUAAGACCUUGCACUAUUGGAGCGGCCGAUAUCGGAUUAGCUAGUUGGUGAGGUAACGGCUCACCAAGGCGACGAUCCGUAGCUGGUUUGAGAGGACGAACAGCCACACUGGGACUGAGACACGGCCCAGACUCCUACGGGAGGCAGCAGUGGGGAAUUUUGGACAAUGGGGGCAACCCUGAUCCAGCCAUCCCGCGUGUGCGAUGAAGGCCUUCGGGUUGUAAAGCACUUUUGGCAGGAAAGAAACGUCGCGGGCUAAUACCCCGUGGAACUGACGGUACCUGCAGAAUAAGCACCGGCUAACUACGUG
rnacentral:rRNA from 1 species